rnacentral:rRNA from 1 species
AUGAAUCCUACCUCGGCCCUGGGUCCGGACGGCCUCCCGGUUAAAUUCUUCCAGUCCUUCUGGAAUGUGAUCAAGCCGGAGGUCAUGGCCAUCUUUGACGAGUUCUACGUUGGGUCCAUCGACCUCGGGCGCCUCAAUUAUGGGAUCAUUUCACUCAUUCCCAAGGUGCCUGGGGCGUCCGACACCCGCCAGUUCCGUCCAAUCACGGUGAUAAAUGUGAUCUUUCGAAUUCUGGCAAAAGGGUACGCCAAUAGGGUGACCCUUCUUGCCGACCGCAUUACCCACCCCAACCAAUCUGCCUUCAUUCAAGGUCGGUACAUCCUGGAUGGGGUGCUAGUCCUUCAUGAAUUCCUGCAUGAGGUCCGAUCCAAACACCUCAAGGUAGUCUUCCUGAAAAUCGACUUCCAUAAGGCUUACGACACUGUUAGCUGGCCCUUCCUUCGGGAAGUUUUGCUCCGGAAAGGCUUCGACGAACGAUGGGUCACCAGAGUGAUGCAGAUGGUCUCCUGUGGUCGCACUGCGGUGAACAACAAUGGGGAGAUAGGCCCUUACUUCUCCACCCUCUGUGGUUGA